UGCCAAAAUAAAAGCAGAAGAGUGUUGUAUAAGUUUCCCUUUUGACGACUUUAUUUUUUUGACCGUGGUCCUCGAUGCUUCUCUUCCCGAUGACCCUGGCAUACUGUCGAACUACGAAUCUCACUCAACCAAUGACCAAUGGAUCACUUUCGGACAUCGAACCUUGCCUAAACGCCGACCACGGCUUACGUAUGGACUCCGACCCGAGCCCCAAUGUUAACCCCAGCCCGAUUUUGGAUAAUGCAACCAGAAUUCCUCAAUCUCAUGAGGAACCUAUACCUAUGAUAUGUAUCAAUUGUAUAGCUGACAUGAUGCAGAGGAGGCGACAUAGCCUAGAGCUUAUUAAGUUCAGUUGGUUAUAAUGUCAGUGGAUGACUCCUCAGCUGAUUGAUAACAGCAGUGUAUGUUGUCACUCAUGUUGGACUGUGGCCACGGUGUGGCUCUGCACCAAUCAAGGACAAAUAAUAUUUCAAAUGAAGAAGCAACCACUAGCACUGGUCACAGUUAACGUGGAUUAUCUUUGUUACAAAUAUGUUCCAUAGACUGCAUAUUAACACGGAAAGAGAAUCACAUAUUCGAAAAUAAUGGAACAGAUUUCACCUUGUCAACUGCGGGGAUCUGACCAAAUAUGUCAUCCCUGAUGACAGUGAGCUGAUCGAGCUGCUACACAUGCUGUGGAGCCC